UACGUAGGGUGCGAGCGUUGUCCGGAAUUAUUGGACGUAAAGAGCUCGUAGGCGGUGUGUCGCGUCGGCCGUGAAAACCUGGGGCUUAACUCUGGGCGUGCGGUCGAUACGGGCAUCACUAGAGUUCGGCAGGGGAGACUGGAAUUCCUGGUGUAGCGGUGAAAUGCGCAGAUAUCAGGAGGAACACCGGUGGCGAAGGCGGGUCUCUGGGCCGUAACUGACGCUGAGGAGCGAAAGCGUGGGGAGCGAACAGG
rnacentral:rRNA from 1 species